UGUAGGUUCAGUUGGAACUGCAGGCAGAAUUUGCAACCAGACAUCCCGAGGUAUGGACAGUUGCGAGGUGAUGUGUUGUGGGAGAGGAUUCGAUACAGCUAGAAUCACGACUAUGGCAAAGUGCGAGUGCAAAUUCCACUGGUGCUGUGCCGUGCAUUGCAAAGACUGUCUGGAAACGGUGGACGUACACACAUGUAAAGGAUUCAGAGACGGGGCAUGGAUGGACAAAACAUGACGAGGUCAUUACCAAAACAAUGACAAAUACUGGACCAGCUCUACGGCAGAGAGAGUAUAAAAGGGGUAAAACUAACAGAAGAGAAUUUUGU